rnacentral:sRNA from 1 species
CUUAAAUUUGAUAAAACUUAGUAUGUGUCCUAACAGAAUACACCAUCUGCAAAUAAGAAUAUUGUGUAUUUUCUUGCUUUUGACUGGAAAGUUCUUUACUCAUCUGUUAAACCUAGUUGGUCUAUAAUAUGGUUUUGAUGUUCAUGUCCUCCAAACCUUAUGAUUAAAUGUAAUUUUUAAUGUUGGAUGUGAGACCUGGUGGGAGGUGUUUGGGUCGUGGGGGCAAAGUCCUCAUAGAUAGCUUGGCACCAUCCUCUCGGUAAUGAAAAUGUUUACACUCCAUUAAUUCAAAUGAAAGCAGGUUUAUUGGAAGAACCUGGCUCCUUCACCUCAUACUUGCUCUGUCUCUCAUCAUGUAAUAUGUGCAGUUACUCUUCGCCUCCAACCGUGACUGUAAGCUUGGUGACACUCUCACCAGAAGCAGAUGCUGGCACACUUUCUACAGUCUGCUAAAUUGUGAGCCAAAUAAAUAUUAUUUCUUUAUAAGUUAUCCAAUCUCCAGUAUUCAACUAUAUGCAAAAUAAUUGAUACAGUCUAUAAUGUUGUCUAGGUUUUCUGUUUUCUUAUUUUUUGUUUAAUGUGAAUUUUCUAUUAUGGAAAAUGGGCUCUUGAUGUCUACAAUUAUUAUGUUGUUAUGUAUUUCUUGCUUUACUUUUGUCAAUAUUUGCUUUAUAUAUUUUGGAGCCCUGAUGUUGUACAUGUACAUACAGAUAGAUAGAUAGAUAGAUAGAUAGAUAGAUAGAUAGAUAUAAUAGUUAUAAAUUUGUGGUAAAUCAACCCAUUUUACCAAUAUAUACUAUCAAUGUUUGUCUCACGUUAGCACUUGACUUAAAAUAUAUUAUGUCUAAUACCCAAGUGUAGUUACUAUUUUCAUAAAAUACAGGUUUUUGCACUAUGUAAUUUUCAGCCUAUUUGACUCAAUGCUAAAAUGAGUCCCUUGUAGGUAGCAUAUUGUUUGCUUUUUCUUAAGCCACUAAAGCAUUUUAUUUUUUCUUUUUAUAAUUUCAUUUAUUUACUUGUUUAUUCAUUUAUUUUUGAGAUAGGUCUCGCUCUGUCAACCAGGCUGGUUUGCAGUGUUGUGAUCAUGGCUCACAGCAGCCUCAAUCUCUCAAACUCAGAAGAUUCUCUCAUUUCAGCCUCUCAGGUAGCUGGGUUACAAGUGUGUAGCAUCACACCUAGCUAGUUUUUUUUGUAUUUAUGGUUGAGACAGAGUUUUUCCGUGUUGCCGAGGCUGGUCUCAAACUUCUGAGAUCCAGUGAUCAGCCCAUCUUAGCCUCCCAAAGUCCUGAGAUUAUAUUUUUUUCUAUUAAGUAGUUUAAUUAAUUUAUAUUUAAAAUUAUUUAUUAAAAGUGAAGUUACUACUUUUAUUGUGAUUGUUUUAUGUGUUCCUCAGUGGUAUUUUUUAUAUGUUGGUUUAUUGCCUUAAAUUUCAUUUUAAUUUUGUAGUGAUGUGCUUCAAUUAUUUUUUAUAUCUUGUUUUGCAUAGUUUCUAUAAAUAUUAUCUUCAUAAUCA